AAAGAUUUAUACAGUGAAAGGCUUUUCUCUGUCUGUUAAGGGGUGUUUUUUUUCUUUGAUUCCCCAAGCUCAUCCCUAUGAGAAUUUUUCAAACCCAAAAAGGGAAAAGAAAGCCCAUAGUUGAACAUAAAAAAUUCUUAGGCAUUUAAUAUAUGACUACAUUUAUAAGUAUAAUAUCUAUAUAUUCUAUAUCUAUAAGUACAUUGUAAAGCAGUAGUUCUUCAGAUUAUUUUGCUUACUAAAAUAGCUGUCAAAUAUCAAACAGUUAAGUAUCUACAGAAAGACAUAUAUACCUAUGCUAUACUUAGUAUUUGCUAUUUGUAUUAGUAUCCAUUUGAAUAGUAUCCACAUUCUAAUCACACAUACAAAUAACAUAAAUCCAUAAUGUCCUUGUGCUCACACAUCCAAAUACACACACACACACACAGACACACACACACACACACACACACACACACACACACACACACUUACCUGGUCUGUGCAGGUGGUGCUGCUGGAAGGUGUGCUGGAGGGAUCCAUGGCAGAGCAGCAUGGCACACGCACUUAU